rnacentral:lncRNA from 1 species
UGAUUGCUAAUUUCUUACAAGAUAAUGAGAUAUUUGUCUUUCAUAUUUUAAUAAACUUUUCAAUACGGUAUUUAAAGUUUUUAAAUGUAAACGGAUCUCUUAUAUUUUGUUUUUGUCUUUUGAAGAAGUACUUAAACCUAAAUAGUGUUAAAGUAUAAAGUGGGACUACUAAAAUACUACCAUGAGACACUUUUUUAAAAAUGAUCAAUCAAGUCAAAUCUGGGAUAUGGUAACAAUUUUACCAUUGUAUUUCUAAAGCUAUAGAAAUAUAUUUUUUUCCUUCUUUUCUAUCAUAUCAAUUAUCAAAUAAAUUGAUUGGUAUAAUAUUUAUAAUCCUUUAAAAUUAUAAAGAUAUAUAGGGUAUUAAAAUUUAUGUAAAAUUAUAAAGAUAUAUUAGGGUAUUACAUUACAAAUAUAGUUAUUUUACAAUUUUUGUUUCAAAGAAUCUUCAAACCCCUAAUUCUAACUCUAUUCCAUUUUUAUCUCCUAGGGAGAAUCCCAACACCACCACCUUCAUUGCAAUGGUAUGGAGUGUCAAACAAUAACUUAAUUGGAGAAAUCCCUUCCUCAAUAUGCAAUUUGACUUCUCUUAUGGGUUUCUUUCUAUCUGAGAAUAAUUUAGAAGGAACAAUUCCAGAGUGUUUUAGAAACUUGAGUUCUUCUCUCUUGCAAUUUGAUCUACGGUAUAAUAAUUUUCAUGGUCAAAUAUCAGAAAUUUUUGCUAAAGGUUGCAUGUUGAAAGGUUUCCGCAUCAACAACAAUGAAUUAGAAGGGUCACUACCACAAUCUUUGAGUAAUUGCAAAGAUUUAAUCCUUCUUGAUGUUGGAAACAACAAUUUGAAUGACACUUUCCCAAAUUGGUUAGGAAAUUUGGAUCAGUUACAAGUUCUUAUCUUAAGGUCAAAUAGAUUUUACGGCCAAGUGGAUAGCUUUGAUGUUAAAAUUUCCUUAACUCAUUUGCGUAUCGUUGAUCUUUCUCAUAAUAACUUCAGUGGUUAUUUACCUACCCUUGUUUUUGAACAUUUGCAUGCCAUUAGAGAAGGGUAUGAAAAGAAAGUUGAACCAAAGAACAUGCAAGAAGGAUUUGGUGAUGAACUUAUGGUGAAUUAUGCUUUUGGUUUAUCUUUUACAACAAAAGGGUUGGAAACAAAGUUUCAAGAACUAUUAUCCAUUUGGACGAUUAUUGACCUUUCUAGUAAUCAAUUCUCGGGAGAAAUUCCAAAAAUACUGGGUGAGCUUCAUUUACUUAUUGUCCUAAACCUCUCCCAUAACUGUUUAAUAGGUCCUAUCCCAUUAUCUUUAGGUGAUCUGUCAGAGCUUGAAUCAUUAGAUCUCUCGUCAAACAAGCUCGAAGGAAGAAUUCCAACACAGUUAAAAAAUCUUGGAUUCUUAGAGGUGUUAAACCUUUCUCAAAAUAAUCUCAAGGGUCCCAUUCCUGAAGGCAAACAAUUUGAUACUUUCACUAAUGAUUCCUACAUGGGAAAUUUGGAUUUAUGUGGUUUGCCAUUAUCAAAAAGCUGUGAUAUUGAUGAGGAAACUCCAGCCAAAUUUGAUAAUGAUGAUGGUGAUGAAUUGAAUUGGAAAUUUUCAAUAGUGAUCGGGUAUGGAUGUGGGUUAGUGCUGGGAAUGAGCACGGCAUACAUUGUAUUCACGACUGGAAAACCAUGGUGGUUGAUUAGGAUCGUCGAGCAAGUUCGACAAAUAUUUGAAAAAAGGUAGAGAAGCCAACACUUAGGCGAGUUCAACAAGUUGCAAACAGAACAGAAAACUUUAUUGCUUGGUGGUAUGCAGACCUUUUUCUGUAGUUGUUUAAUAAACAUUUUGUGUGGGUGCUUGAUUGUUUGUUAUGUUGUUUGUAUUAUGUUUUCUUAGGGCCUCUUUCAUGGAAAUGUUCCCUGAUGUGUUUAUGAUAAGUGCACUGGUUUGUAGAGACUGUCUUUAUGGGAACCUAUCUUUUAAAUAAAAUUGAAAUAAGGAAUAGAUGGUCCAAGAAUGGUUAAUUUAUUCCAAAGAGUUUGUGAAGAAUCAAGGGAGGUAAAAUAAUGCAAAAUUAUAUGUUGAAUACUUUAGAAUUGAAUAUGGAUCAUGAUUUUAAUUGAACAAUACAUGCAUUCUUUGUUUUUAACCUGAAUCAGAUUUGUGAGAUAUAUAUUUUGUGAGUGAUAAACAUAUUAAUUUACAUGAUUCUUGUGUUUAAUUUGGCUUAUUUUUAAAUUAAUCCCUGCUUAAUUGGUGUUUUACUAUUUAAUCUUGUCAGGGAUGCAAUUGGUCAAAAACGAGCAAAAAGGGGCCAAAUUGAAAGACAAAUAGUUGAGUUGGGGCAAAUCAUAAAGAUGGGAAAGCCAAGGAUUUAACAUUGAUUUUGACUUUGUAAAAAGCUAAAAAUAGAAGAUAUUAUUUUAUUUUAUUUAGUUUUAUUAUUUAUUUUUAUUUUAUUUUAUUAAUUUAGGAUUAGACUAUUUUUAGUAAACCCCAUGUAUAUAAAUAGGGGCUUUUAGUUAUUAGAAAAAUCAUCCAUUGUCUUUGUAUUCCUACUUCUACUUGGAAUAGAAUUACUCUCUCUCUUGUAUUUCUUUUUCAAUUUAGAGUUGGAAUAUCAUUUUUUUCUCUUCAAUUUGACGUUACAUUUUGUAGCCUUGUCUCCAUUUUUUUUGUUUCUUUUCCAUAAUUGGGUCGAUUACUUUCCAAGUCCCCUCCAUUCAUUUCUUCACCAUAAUCAUCAAACCUCUUUCCAUGCUCAUAAAGCAUGAACAAUUUCAUGCUUAACUAAAUUCUAUCUUAGCUUUAGGUUGGUGUUCUUUCUGAUCGAGAAUUGUGAGAUUCGUGCUUGCACCUAAAAUCUUUCCAAUCGGUAUUCAUCUUUUUCCUAAGUAUCGGGAUUGACAACUCAUCCCUUAAGGAUAAUUCAAUUUCAAAUCAAAAAGAGCUCGUUGGGUUGGAGUCGUGUUUUCUGACAGUUGGAGAAACGAAUCGGCCGUGCUGUAUUUGGAUCUCCGAGAAAAAAUUGAGGAAGAGGUGAUCGAGUUUAAACGACCCACGCGGUUGAGGCCGUUAAUUCAAGUUGGGUUCUUCAGAAUGCAAGGCUACUAAAAUCUUGAAUCGGGGACACAUGUAUCUUGGUUAGACUUUCGGUUUAACACAUGUAUCUUGAGUCGGGUUUAACACGUGCUGUAUUUGUUAGUUUUAAUUUGUCAAAACUAGAAAUGUUCAUCUUGAACUUGGAAAUCUUUCAAAUUUGAUUUGAAUAUAUUUGGAUAAAAAUUAUCUUUCACUUUCAUCCAUUUCUCAAUAUUGAAUAUGUACAGCCCAAUUUUGGGCCCAAACAUUAAAGUCAACCCAUUAAACUCACUAAACCCAUUACAGCACAAAUAAUCCCAAACUGACCCAACUAGUAAAUUUAGGGUUUCAAAAUUUGAAACCCUAAAUCACCUAACCCCAACCGACACCUGCAGCAUCGCCCUUGUCACAUCCAUCGCCCAUUUUCCUGCAAGAAAUACAGAACAAGUUAUUAAGAAGCAAGUUGUAAGGGAAAUUGCCUAUAAAAGGCCACUCCCAAAAUCAUUGUAUUUUGGGCACUGGAGAGAAAUAAAAAACAGCAUUUUGACUUUAAAACACAAACAAAAAAUCAGUGAGUCAAAAGCACAAAAUAGCCAAUCAAGAGAAAAACACCAAAUUAGAAAACAAAUACCAAGAAUCAGACAUCUAGAAAACAAAGGUGAUUUCAUUCUAUACAUUUUCGAUUUAUUUCUUUUUUUCAUUUUUCGAAUCUCCUAUUUCCGUAUAUAUAUAUUAUAAACACAUAAAAUAUAUAAGAUAAUAUAUAAAAAAAGAGGAAGAAACUUUACCUUUUCCGGCCACCUUGCGCCAACGACAUCAGUGGCGCGUGGCGGCCCUCCAGGCCGAAUUCUGGGAUUGUCCUAGAGAGAAAGGGAGAAUUCUCCCCUUUUUUUCUAAAACAGCUAAGAAAUGAGCAUUAAAGAAAAAAUUUGGGGUUUUAUAAUGGUACCAAAACGGUACCGUUUUGGCCCUCCCCCCAGGCAUAAAACGACACCGUUUUGGGGUGGAGCAGGCCAACCCGACCCGGCAGGCAUGGGAUUCGCGUGUUUUUGAAGCGGAGGGGUUAUUUGCGCUUUUGGCCCCUCCGCUUUUUCAUCAAUUUUCAAUUAAAUUUGUUAUGCUUUUAAAUUCGCCCCUUUAAUUUUAUUUCGUUUACAUUUUGGUCCCGAUUAAAGUGCAGCAUUUUGGGGAAGGAAAAUUUUCCUUUUUAGUCCCCCAUGUUAUUCGCGCACUCCAAAUGGGUCCUUCCCCUUAUUUUUAUUUUUUGAUUUGGCCCUGAACUUUUACUUUAGGUUUAAUUUAGUCAUUUUUCUUAUUAUUUUCGAUAUUUUAAUUAAAUUAAUGAAUUAAAUAUAUUAUUAUUAUUAUUAUUACUGUUAUCUUUAUUACUAUUACCAUUGUUAUUACUACUUCCAUUAUUUUUUAUUUCUAACUAUUAUUAUUUUUAUGUAUAUAUUAUUAUUUAUAUUAUUAUUAUUAUUACUAUUAUUAAAUACCUUUAUUAUUACUAUUAUUUUUGUUCCUUUUAUUAUUGUUUAUUAUCAUUAUAUUAUUAUUAUUACUACCAUUAUUCUUUAUCAUUACUUCUUUUUUGUACUACCAUUAUUGUUCACACAAAUACGUUAUUGUUUAUUAUUAUUACUCUAUUUUUGUAUUCUUUCUAUUAUGUAUUACCCAUUUAUUAUAACUACUAUUGUCAUUAUUUUACAAUUGUAUUUUAAUGUACUAUUAAUAUUACUCUUAUUUUCAUUAUUAUUAUUACUACCAUUAUUCUUUAUUGCCAUGGUUCUUAUUUUUUAUAGCUAUUAUUUUUUAUUACUGAUAUCACUAUUGUUAUAUUUAGUAUUAUUUUUACUUUCAUUAUGACUACUACUAUUAUUAUUAUGGUUUCUCUUUUAUACACUUACGUUUUUUUAUAUAAUAUAUUGAUUUUAUUAUGUAUUCGUUUAUACUUUUAUGUAAUUUCGAACUUUGAAAUUUUUUUAUUUUGUAUCAUUAUUUUGUUUCAUAUAAUACUUAUUUAUAUUUAUACCAUUAUUAUUAUUUUAUCAUUUUUUUAUUUUUUUAACUUUUUUUUGUUUAUUGUCUCAUAUGUUUAUUUGCUUAUCCUCGAUUUAAAAUCAAAUUUACACUACAAUUUGUUUUGUUAUUUCAUUUAUCAUCAUAUUUAUUUCAUUUUAUUUCGUUUUGUUCUCAUUAUCAUUAUUUCAUUAUAUUUAUUCGUUUAUUCAUAUAUGAAUCUAUAUAUCUGCAAGUUUAUGUUAUUCGUCAUUAUUAUUGUGUUUAUAUCAUCACCUUUGUUAUUAUUAUUAUGCAUGUUAAUGCUCCGAUUUGUUUCUCAUUUCACCAUGUGAUUAUGAUUACGUUGGUCCUUUACUCAAUGCAUAUAAUUGUGUUUUCUAAAAUAAAACAAGUUUCGUAUUUAGACAAUUCGAGAAAAUUGUGGCCUAACUUACUGGGUUUCAGUUUUUCUCGUUUAAUCUAAAUAACGACAUAAUCCUAUAAAUCACAUUAUGUUUUUUACUCGAUGCCUUAAAAUAAUUCUUUCAUAAAAGUGAUAUGUCGUAUUUGGUAAUUCGAGACAAUCGUGCCCUAACUUACUGGGCUUCGAUUUUUCUCAUUUAACCUAAAUAACGGAAUACUAUUUUAAAUCGCUAUACGAGUUCUGAAAAAUGCUUAUUCUCGGAGAUACGAAGCGUUGUGCCCUAACAUACCGGGUAUGACAUUUUGUCACCUCAAAAUGAGAAUUUGUUUUAAAAUAAAGGUAAUAUUCGGUGUUUGAGAAUUCGAGAAAACGUGCCCUAACUUACUGGGUUUCGAUUUCUCUCGUUUACUCUAAAUAAUCGAAUACCCUUUUAAUAAAUUAAAAUACGCAAAUUUUAUAUAAAAGGCAAGCUCGCUCUCGAAAAUUCAAGAUGUCGUGUCCUAACUUACUGGAUGUGACAUUUCAUAUUUUGAGACGAGAAGGUCUUUAACACUUGAGCUUUUUUAUAAAGAAGGAUCGUAUUUCAAAAGUCUUUCAAGUUUUCAAUCUUCGACACUAAGACACUAAUUAAUCAACUAGGUACCAAUUUUGGGCGUAUCGAGAGUGCUAACCCUUCCUCGUGCGUAACCGACUCCCGAACUCAUUUUCUAACUUUUCGUAGACAAAAAAAAAUUAUCGUUUUAGUAAAUCUUAACUUUUAUUAAAAUGAUUAAUUUGAGGUGACCCGAUCACACCUCAUCAAAAAUGAUUGGUGGCGACUCCUCUAUUAGUUUUCAUUUUCAAAAUCUAAGUCGAUUCUUGUUUUUCCAAAAAAUGGUUACGACAGAAUAUAUUUUCAUUUGAAAAAAAAUAUUGGUUUUACAACUAACAAUAUUAUCGUUGCAGGUCAUCUACCGUCGGAAAUAUUUGAUAACCUAUCUAAAUUGCAAGUGUUAGAGUUGAGAGGCAAUAAGAUUUCGGGUAGAAUUCCAAAUAGUUUAAUCAAGUGCAAAGAGUUGACAUUUUUAUCAUUGUAUAACAACUCUUUGGAGGGAAAUAUCCCUAUAGAAAUUGGAAAUUUGACUAAGCUCGAAUCUUUGCUCCUUGGUUACAACAACCUCAAAGGUAAAUAAUUAUUGUUUUUAUUUCAUUCGUCUUCUCUUAUGUAAUUUCUAUGAACAAUUAUUUUAAAUAUUGAUGAAUGAGUUUAAAUAAUAACCAUCAAAUUCAAUGCUAACAAAACGAAACUUAGCCAUCAAGUAAUUAUUUUGUGUAUGUCAAUUGAGGCAUCAAGCUGUUAUUUGAUUCCUUAAGCCAGGGGCGAAGCCAGAACAAAUUUUUAGGGGGGCCGAAUGAAAAUUUAAUUUUUUAUAGUUUAUAUAUUUAUAAUUUUUAAAGGAUUAAAUAGAAUUUUUAUAAUUUUAGGGGGGGCCAAAGUACAAAUUUACCUUUAUUAAAUUUAAAAUUUUAAGAAAAAUUCAAGGGCCUAAACAUAAAUUUUCCAAUUUAGGGGGGCCAGGGCCACUGCCUUAAGCCAAUUUAAAGGGAAAAUGAUGAGGUGGUUAAUGGUUUAGUUAACUUGCAUGCCAAAAUAAGUCUUGAUAUUAGUUAUGUAAACAUUUUUCAAUAAAUUGAAUCAGAUGACAUCAAAUAAUAAGUUGAAAUUUGGAUGGACAUAAAUCUUCCACAUUUAUCGCAUGUGAAGUUUAAUGCCUUAUUUAUACUUGCCUUUAUGCGAAGAAAUGAAUUGAUGUUAUUUAUUGCAGGUCUUAUUCCUUACUCAAUCUUCAACAUUUCUUCAAUGCAACAAAUUGAUUUGGGAAACAACUAUCUCUUUGGUCAUCUCCUCGAUUAUAUUGUCUUGAUUUGGGUGGAUGUCAACUUUCUGGUAAGCAAACUUAUUUAUCAUACUUCAAUAAUGUGCUUAAAACUAAAAUAGGUAUUCACAACUUAACUUUUUCUUUUUACCCUUAUCUUAUUUGUUUCUAAUUUCGGUUAACAUAAGGAAUUAAUAAAUUAGGUGAAAUAAAAUUCAGAAAUGAGGAGUAGCCACUUUUGUUUGACGUUACAUAAUAAUUGAAAUCGAACUCUAAAUCAACAAAAGUCACCGCCUCAUGCUAUUUUUACCCUUGCCUUAUUUAUAUAUGAAACAGAGUAAAUAUGAGAGAAACAGAGUACAUGGGCAGUCGCCAUUUAUAUAUGAAAUAGUUACUUCAUGUGAUGUAAUUGUUUCAUGCAAUACUUUCUUUUUAAUUUAUUUACAUUGCUAUCUUGAAUAUGUUUUUAUGUAGUUGGGCCCUUAAUUAUAAGUGCUACUUAUUCACUAAGUCUAGCAUUUUAGGCUUCCAUUUUGUGUUGUGCAAUUGGAAAUGUUCAUGGGCUUGCAUAUAUCCUAUUUAAUUUUUAACAACAAAAUUAGGCUGGGUCAGGCUAUUUGAAAAAUUAAUCUCGGUCUAAUCAUCUUGCCAUGAACAUUUCUAAGCAAUAUUUGUAUAAUUUUUUAUUUCAAUUGUGAGUUAAUGGAUGUUGUGACUAGAUCCUUGGAAUGAAAAUUGUAAAGAUAAUGAAGAAUGAUUAAAAAUUAUUAAAUUCUGUUAUUCCUCUCCUUAUGAUUUGCCUUAUACCCACACAAAACCUUAUGGUAGAAAUUUGCUUCUUCAUCUUGGCCUUUGAUCCAUCUUUUUUCUUUGGGUUCAUCCACAAAUGUUGUUUGUUCUUGGCUUGAAUUAAUCAUAGUAAUAAUUUUCUUUGCAUUAAAUGAUUUUGAGAUUUUGGGUGAUAUAUUGAUGGUCACCCUUGUUUGUUUUAUAUAUAUCAAAACUUAGAGAUUGACUUAACAAGAAAGAUGGUGAUGAUGAUGAGAUGAAUAUUAGUGAAGAAGGCGAAAACAAUAAACACAAUCUAAAGAUAAGUCAAAAAAUAUAAGUCAAUCAGUGUUAGUGAGAAAACAAUCUAAAACUGUUUUCAGCCAUAAGUUCAAUAUAAGAGAAAUAGACUACAUGAUUUCUAUAUGAGCAGAUAUAUUUGUGUGUUUGCUGAUUCCUUAGCAAAAAAAUUGUAUCAAUACCGUGCUUAUCCUUGUUAUAUGCACAGAUAUAUGUGUCUAUAUGUGCAGAUACAUGUGUUUUUGAUAAUUUGUGGCAAGAGAUAAAUAGCAAGCAAUUUAGGGAAACAUAUUGUAUGUAAGUUGUUUGACAGUAACAAGUCACUGCUAACUAGAUAUAUAAAACUAGAAGUUUCUAAAAAAAUAUACCUGUUCAGUUUCUCAUUUAAACUUGAAAGUUUAUCCUAUAUUUAAACAAAAACAUUAAGCGUGAACAAAAAAUUAGUUGUAGGUAUUUGAAGACUAUGACCGUCUUUUACUUGUAAAAGAAGAUUGGAGUUAUUUUUGUAUUUAUAGAAUAUUGAACAUUAGUUGUAGGUAUUUGAAGGCUUUCCCUGUUUUGGGGUUGUAGCCCAAUAAUUGUGGCUAUUUCUUACUCAAAAAUAUGUGUCUAUAUGUGCCAAUAUAUAUGUGUUUCCUGUUUCCUUACUAAAAAAUUGUAUCAGUACGGUAUUUAUCACUGCUAACUAGAUAUAUAAAAAUAAUUUUUUUUCAAAAAAUUGAUAUCAGCUGUUCAGCUUUUCUUCCAAACUUGAAGGUAUAUCCAAUAUUUGAACAAAAAUAUUAAGCCUGAAUUGUUUUAUUCCAUCGAAUUUUCAGCAUCAUUUAAGUUAUAAAUUUGAGUAUUAUAAUUAAAAUCAUUUAUAGUUAUCAUAAGUACCAUAAAACUAAACAAAACUUGAAUGUUUAAAAAAUAGGUAAAUAAAACAGGCACUAAUAUGCUCAACAAAUAAAUUAAGAGUUUAUUAGGAAAAUAUUUAUUAAAUUUAACUGAUUUAAUUAUAUGUUUCAAGUGAAAUUCCUCUGUCAUUGAACACUUAAGUUUUCUUGAAGCACUUUAUUUUGACAAUAAUAAAUUCACAGGUAUAAUUUCAUUUUUCUUUUCUUCUCUUUUUUGUUAUAUGUUCAAUAUAAGAGAAACAGACUACAUGAUUUCUAUAUGUGCAGAUAUAUUUGUGUGUUUGCUGAUUCCUUAGCAAAAAAUUGUAUCAAUACCGUGCUUAUCCUUGUUAUAUGUGCAGAUAUAUGUGUCUAUAUGUGCAGAUACAUGUUUUUUGAUAAUUUGUGGUAUAGCGACGUAAAAAAAUUUUUUAGCUUCGCUUGGUCACUAAUUGUGGCGAUUUAUUAAGCAUUUGAAAACCAACUUUCGAUUUUAUUAGCAAAGGGAGUCGCCACCGAUCCUUUUUUAUAGGUGUGAUCGGAUACCUAAUAAAAUUAUUUUAAAACAAAAAGAAGGCCAAAUUUAGGUCUACGUGAAAGUCCAGAGAAAAAUUGGGGUUCGGAAGUCAGUUAUGCGCGAGGAAGGUAUUAGCACCCUCGCGACGCCCAAAAUUGGUAUCUCAUAAACAUGUGUUGACUUGAUUUUCAAAAAUACGAGUUCAAUAUAAUAUUUAAUCGUGAUCCGAUUGAAAGAUGAGAAUUUUUAGUUUUUGAUUUUUUUUUAGAAAGGGUGUCCCGUUUUUUAACACAAGCCGACGAAUUUCACCCAACAUAGCAAUGAAAUCGAUGGCUUAAUAUUAAAUCGGUACAUUGCCUUAUUUUUGAAAUUAAUUAAAACAUGAGAAAAAAUAUUCCUAAAGUGAGAAAUUAAAAAUAGAUAAAGGACGCAAAAAAAAUGAUAUCAUUAAUGAAAAAUAUUAACAUGGAAUACUAGAAUAUUAGAAUAACAAUAAUAAUGAUAUUUACAAAAUAAAAACAAAUCAUGUACUAAUAAUAAAAUAGGAAAAAUGAUAUAUUUGGUAAUAAUAAUAUAAAAUAAUAAUAUGUACAUAAAAAUACAUAUAUAUGCAUAUAAUAAAAGUAUGUAAUAAUAACAAUAAUAUCUACAAUAAAAGAAAAUAUUAGGAAACGUACAUAAAAAAUAUAUACAUAAAAAAUUUACAACAAUAAUAUAAAAUAAUGAUAUGUACAAAAAUAUAUAUAUACAUAUGUACAUAAAAUAUACACUAAUAUAAUAAUAGUUAUAAUAAUACUAGCAAUAGUAAUAAUUUGUAAUAAUAAUAUAUACACAAUAUGGUAUUUAAAAUAUAUAUAUGUAUAUAUAAUAGUAUUUAAGAAUAUAUACAUAAGAAAUAUAUAACUAAUGGCAUUAAAAAAUAUAUACAUAAUAUAUAUAAAAUACCUAAAAAAAGAAGGGGGAAAGAAGAAAGAAGGGAGGGGGAAAGGAAAUCCGGCCAAGGGGGGCCGGUCACCGGCCGAUCGUCAGCCGCCGCCCGUCACCGGCGCCGGCCACCGCCGGCCACCGCCCACGGUGGUCGGAAAAGGUAAUUUUUUUUCUUAACAAUAUAUGUAUAUAUAAAGAAAGAAAAAAACAAAACAAAAAAAAAGAAAGAAAAAAAGAUUCGAAAGAAGAGGAAAAAAGAAAAAAAUGCAACCUUUUUAUUAUGUUUCUUUUGUGUUCAAAAUUUGAAGGGAUUUUUGUGUUUGUCUCCUUUUUCAAUCUUUGUAAAAUCCCCCCUUUACAUGAUUUUUGAAUGGCUUUUUAUAGCCAUCUUUUACAUGAUUUUCUAUUAUUUCUUUUUCUAUUUUGUAGGUGGUGGUGGUAGACAAUGGAUAUCAAAAAUGGAAGGAAAAAUAGGGCAAGUGGGAAAGUGGGUAGGUGGCUAGGGUUUCUUGGUUUUUUUGGGGGGGGGUUAGGUUUUUUUUUGGGGGUUAGGUUUUUUUGGGGGGGCUUAAUGGGCUUUUGAAUUGGGUUUAAUAUUUGGGUUUUGUAAUGGGUUUGGGUAGAUGUAAAUGGGUCAUGGGUUAAGGGUUUUAGUGGGUUUAGAGGUUUGGUUGGGUUUUGAUAUAAUCGGGCCCGGGCAAUUUGGGCUUCUACAGCUGCCCCUCUUUGUUCAUUGUCGUGCAACGAUAAUAGAGCAAAGACUUUCAAGGAAGACCAAAUUUGCCCGGUCUUGCUAGGUCUUGACUUGCUUUGGAACUCUUCUUGUUUAGUUAGUCCCUUUUCAGUCCACUGCAUCUUGUAGCUUUGGUUCACUCCACUGCAUCUUAUGAUAUACGCCUUGUAGCUUCAAUCUGUUCCAAUGUAACUUCAAGGAUAUGAAAUUUAUGGCUUCGACCUACUUCACUGUAACUUCAGAAAGGUGAGAUCUACAACUUCAAUCAGCUCUUCUAUCGCUUCAGUGAGAUAAGGUUUGUGGUCUUUUCUUCUGCGACUUCAAAAAGGCAAGAUCUGAUGUCCUUGAACAACUCCACUGCAACUUUAAGGAGACAGAAUCUGACGUCUUCAAUCAGCUUCAAUCUUUAUUCUCUACUCGGCAUGUGCUCCUGAGCUCAACUUAUUUUUCGCAAUAUGAAUUGACUCUCUAAAAACAGACAUUAAAAACAGAAAUCGAAAAUAGCUCAGCGCGUGAGCCAAGGCUCAACUCACCUCUCGCAAUAUGAGUUGAUUUUUUGAAACUUAACUUGAAAAGCAGAUUUUGAAAAUACCUCGAUAUGUGACUGGAGGUUCAACUCACCUCUCGCAAUAUGAGUUGAUUUUUGAAAAACAGAAAUUAAAAGACUCAACUCAACUCUCGCAGAAAUUAAAAAGCUCAACUCACCUCUCGCAAUAUGGGUUGAAUUUUUUUGAAAAAACAGAAAUUGAAAAUAGCUCAGCACGUGAGCCAAGGCUCAACUCACUUCUCGCAAUAUGAGUUGAUUUUUGAAAACAGAAUUUGAAAAACAAAUUUUGAAAAUACCUCGACAUGUGACCCGAGGCUCAACUCACAUCUCGCAAUGUAAGUUGAUUUUUUUGAAAAAUAUAAAUUGAAAAAAUACCUCAGUGUGUGAUCUGAAGCUCAACUCACCUCUCGCAAUAUGAGUUGAUUUUUUUGAAAGACAGAAAUUGAAAAUAGCUCAGCGCGUGAGCCAAGGCUCAACUCACCUCUCGCAAUAUGAGUUGAUUUUUUUUUGAAAGGUAGAAAUUGAAAAACAGAAAUUGAAAAUACCUCGGCGUGUGACCUGAGGCUCAACUCGCCUCUCACAAUACGAGUUGAUUUUUUUGACAACAGAAAUUGAAAUUACCUCAGCGUGUCCUGAGGCUCAACUCACCUCUCGCAAUAUGAGUUGAUUUUUUUGAAAAACAGAAAUUGAAAAACGGAAAUUGAAAAUACAUCGGCGUGUGACCUGAGGCUCAACUCGCCACUCGCAAUACGAGUUGAUUUUUUGACAACAGAAAUUAAAAAUACCUCAGCGUGUCCUGAGGCUCAACUCACCUCUCGCAAUAUGAGUUGAUUUUUUUUUGAAAGACAGAAAUUGAAAAACGAAAAUUGAAAAUACCUCGGCGUGUGACCUGAGGCUCAACUCGCCUCUCGCAAUACGAGUUGAUUUUUUUUGACAACAGAAAUUAAAAAUACCUCAGCAUGUCCUGAGGCUCAACUCACCUCUCGCAAUAUGAGUUGAUUUUUUGAAACAUACGAAAAAUUGACAAUACCUCAGCGUGUCCCGAGGCUCAACUCACCUCUCGCAAUACGAGUUGAUUUUUUUGACAACAGAAAUUAAAAAUACCUCAGCGUGUCCUGAGGCUCAACUCACCUCUCAAAUAUGAGUUGAUUUUUUUAAACAUACGAAAAAUUGACAACACCUCAGCGUGUCCCGAGGCUCAACUCACUUCUCGCAAUAUGAAUUGAAUUUUGAAAUAAAACAUCAGAAUACCAGAACAUGUCAUCUGGUGGAACUCAUGUGUCUUUUCAGCUAUCAUCACAUCUUCUUGCUCUACUGGAGUACCUAUAUAUGUCAUGCAUGAUAUUAUCAUGAUAUGCACAUGUUUGUCUUAAAUGCUUUUAUGCCUACAUGAUUAUGCAGUGCUCCUUAAGCAUGUUUUUCGUAUGUCUAUUUAGCCACGAUUGUUGAGGAUCUGUGUUCAUUGCUUUGAUUCUCGACUUUCUCUUUAGGCCUUAUACCUGUCUUCAAGCUUCAGAGUAAUCGACGUUUCUCAGAUAUCACUCUUCUGCCCCCGAUUGAACUUUGCUCUUACUUUGAGACUCUUGUGCUUAUCAAAUUUUCAUCCAGGUAAUGCUUAACAUUUCUUUUGUUUAGAGUAUGUCAUUUCACCAUUUAUCAUGUAAAUAAACACAUAAUGAGAUGCAUGAAAAAGGUCAGAUAGGGACAAAAAUGAUAUUUAAUAUUCAUCUAUUUCAAAUGUGGCAAACAAAGCAAGUUAACCAAUGAGAGUAAAAAAUGUCAAAAAGAAAGAAAGGAUCGUAUUCAACGGAUACAAAUGCUCUAGAUAUUCAACACAUGAACUCUUCCUCGUUUCUCAAUCAAAAAUCUUUUCGAGCGCGGCUUAUUGCGUAGAAGAUUUCGAGCUUUCAGAAAUGCUUCAAAUACUAUAGCCUCACUGCUUGACCUAUCGUUCGAUCGCCAGGUUUGUUUCAUUAGGACGCCCUCUCGGGUUUUCAUCCUAAUCUUUUUGUACUAAUCAAGACGCCCUUUUCGGGUUUUCGCCUUGAUCCCUUUUUUUUAAGAUGCCCUUUUCGGGUUUUCAUCUUAAGCAUAAUAUUUCUUCACAGCAUCUGAGUUCACUGGAUUUGACAACUCUUUCCCAUCCAUCUCGGUAAGGAUCAAAGCUCCUCCUGAGAAUGCCUUCUUUACGACAUAUGGUCCUUCCCAAUUUGGUGCCCAUUUUCCUCGCAGGUCUUUUUGUAUUGGGAGAAUUUUCCUCAGCACGAGUUCUCCUUCAUGGAAUUCUCUUGGCCGUACCUUAUUGUCAUGGGCUGUGAUCAUUCUUUUCUGGUAUAUUUGUCCAUGACAAAUUGCCCUGAGACGCUUUUCUUCAAUGAGGUUCAGUUGAUCAUAUCGAGCUUGUACCCAUUCUGCUUCUUCUAACUUUGAUUCCAUUAAGACUCGCAGAGAGGGGAUCUCAACCUCAAUAGGUAGCACAGCUUCCAUUCCAUAAACCAGAGAGAAAGGAGUUGCUCCUGUAGAUGUUCGCACAGAUGUGCGAUAUGCAUACAAAGCAAAUGGUAGUUUCUCGUACCAAUCUUUAUAUGUCUCAGUCAUUUUCCCAAUGAUCUUCUUAAUAUUUUUGUUGGCUGCUUCCACAACCCCGUUCAUCUUUGGGCGAUAAGGCGAGGAGUUAUGAUGCUUUAUUUGGAAUUGCUCGUAUACUUCUUCCAUCAUCUUAUUGUUCAGAUUCAUGGCAUUAUCUGAAAUGAUUCUCUCAGGCAAACCAUAUCGACAAAUAAUUUCCUUUUUCAAAAAUCUGCAAACUGCAGUCUUUGUCACAUUGGCAAACGAAGCAGCUUCUAUCCAUUUUGUGAAGUAAUCAAUAACCACAAAAAUGAACCGGUGUCCAUUAGAAGCUUUUAGGGAAAUUGGCCCUAUAACAUCCAUGCCCCACAUAGAAAAAGGCCACGGAAAAGUCAUGACAUGAAGGGGUGAAUGGGCUACAUGAAUUUUAUCGCCGUAGAUUUGACAUUUGUGGCAUUUUCUGGAAAAAUUGAUGCAGUCACUUUCCAUUGUUAGCCAAUAAUAACCGAGUCUCAUGAUCUUUCUGGCCAUAUUGAAACCAUUGGCAUGCGUUCCUCAAAUUCCCUCAUGGACCUCUUCAAGUAUUUUUCUGGCUUCAACAUCAUCCACACAUCUCAAAAGUAUCUGAUCCUUUCCUCUUUUAUACAGGAUAUCCCCAUCAAGAACAAAUCUCGCUGCCAUUCUUCUAAUUGUUCUUUUAUCGUUCUCAUUCGCUUGUUCGGGAUACCUUUGAUUCUUGAUAUAUUCUAGGAUAUCAUGGAACCAAGGCCGUCCGUCUACUUCUUUCUCAAUGCUACAACAGUGUGCAGGGACCUCGUAUAUGCUCAUUUUGAUGGGCAUUAUUUCUGCUUCUCUACUUACUUUGAACAUUGAAGCCAAAGUGGCCAGGGCAUCAGCCAGUUGGUUCUCUUCUCGUGGGAAGUAAUGAAAAGUUAUUUCUUUGAAUUCCUUGAUCAAUCCAGCCACUAAAUCGCUGUACUUAAUCAAUUUUGAGUCUCUCACUUCCCACUCUCCACGGAUUUGGUAAAUCACUAGGGCUGAGUCCCCGUACACCUCCAAGAUCUUGAUGUUUCGUUCGAUAGCUGCACGAAGCCCCAUGAUACAGGCCUCAUAUUCUACGAUAUUAUUGGUACAGAAAAAGUUCAGUCUUGUAGUGAACGGAUAAUGAUUCCCGUCUGGUGAUACCAGGAUUGCUCCAAUUCCAUGCCCUAAAGCAUUUGACGCACCAUCAAAGCACAUCUUCAAUGACUUCUCUUUUGAUGACUCGGAUUCUAUUUCUGUGAUGCACAUUAAGUCUUCAUCUGGGAAAUCGAAUCUUAAAGGCUCAUAUUCCUCUGUCGUUCGAGUUGCUAAGAAGUCAGCUAUUGCGCUCCCUUUUAUCGACUUCUGACUUACAUAGGCAAUAUCAUAUUCCGAAAGGAGGAUCUGCCAUCGUGCCAUUCUUCCUGAUAGUGCCGACGAUUCCAUCAUGUAUUUUAUUGGGUCCAGCUUUGAAAUUAGCCAUGUCGUGUGAUACAACAUAUAUUGUCUGAGUCUCCGAGCUACCCAAACCAGAGCGCAACAAUAUUUCUCAAUAGACGAAUAUUUUGCCUCAUAUUCAGAGAACUUUUUGCUGAGGUAGUAGAUCGAUUUUUCUUUCUUUCCUGACUCGUCAUGUUGCCCCAGUACGUAACCCAUUGAACUUUCGAACACAGUCAAAUACAAUAUCAAUGGUCUUCCAGGAGUUGGCGGUACUAGCAUUGGAGGACUGGACAAAUAUUGUUUUAUCUUAUCAAAGGCCAUCUGGCAUUCCUCGUUCCAUUCUCCCGGGUUAUGUUUUCGAAGAAGCCGAAAGAUUGGGUCGCAUUGGUUGGUAAGUUGAGCGAUAAAUCGGGCGAUGUAGUUUAAUCUCCCUAAAAAUCCUCUAACUUCCUUUUGCGUGCGCAGAGGUGGUAAUUCUUAGAUGGCUUUUAUUUUAUCUGGAUCAACUUCGAUACCUUUUUCACUGACAAUGAAGCCUAGCAACUUUCCCGAGGUAGCCCCAAAUGUACAUUUGGCCGGAUUGAGCUUUAGCUGGAACUUUCUCAGUCUGUCGAACAAUUUCUUCAGAUUCACUACAUGCUCUUCUUCCCCUCGAAAUUUAACAAUCAUAUCGUCGACGUAGACCUCUAUUUCUUUAUGCAUCAUGUCAUGGAAUAACGUCACCAUAGCCCUCUGAUAUGUUGCUCCAGCAUUCUUUAACCCAAAUGGCAUCACCUUGUAACAGAAUGUUCCCCACAUUGUUACGAAGGUAGUUUUCUCCAUAUCCUCAGGGGCCAUCUUGAUCUGAUUAUACCCCGAGAAUCCGUCCAUGAAAGAAAAUAAUGAAUGUUUUGCUGCGUUAUCCACUAACGUAUCAAUGUGUGGUAAGGGAAAAUUAUCUUUAGGACUUGCUCGAUUCAGGUCACGAUAAUCCACGCACAUUCGUACUUUACCAUCUUUCUUUGGUACCGGGACUAUGUUAGCCACCCAUUCUAGAUAUUUGGAGGCUUGUAGGAAGCCAGCAUCAAAUUACUUCUUGACUUCCUCUUUUAUCUUCAACAACAUCUCAGGCCUCAUCUGUCUUAGCUUUUGUUGAAUGGGCUUGCAUUCUGGCUCUAAUGGGAGCUUAUGGACUGCUGCAUCUUCAUCCAAUCCUAGCAUGUCCUGAUAUGACCAUGCGAGUACAUCUUUGUACUCACGGAGCAAAGCUAUCAAAUUAUGUCUGGUGCCCCCUGAAAUAGAAGUCCCAAUCUUCACUUCUUGCUUCCUUUCUUCAGUUCCCAGAUUUAUUGUUUCAACAGAUUCUUGAUUAGGCAAAAUCUAUUUAUCCUCUUGUUUCACCAUUCUUAGCAAGUCAGGGGACGAGACAUAGUCUUCAGCAUUUUCUUCGACUUCAAAUUCUCCUAAACAAACAGCAUUCUCAAAAUCGAUUUCAGGACUCGUAAUUGGUUUGUUCAUGCUGUUGAUAUCUGAGCACCUGAAAGUUGAAUGGAAAAGGAAACUAUAGGGGGCAUCCAAGUAUUGGAACCAACAAACGAAAUGUUAUGGCAUGGUAUGAGGCAAAUGUACAGAUAGGCUAUGAAAUGAGGAGAUGAUUAUGAAAUUAGUGAUAAUGCGAAAGAUCGUGAUAAAAUGCAUCUUCAUUGAUAUUCAUUUAAAUGAUAAAGAGUGAAUGCAAGCUCUUACAAAAAAGUUCUAUUAUAUCUAAGAACACAAUAGAGGGUUAAUAUUUGAGCAUUACUCUGAAGACUUAUAAACUACAAGAAGGUUCUCGGUAAUUCAAUUGUUCAACAUGAAACUAGGAGGACAAUGGCGUAUCAUUGAAACAUCUUUAAUAGCCUCACUUCCUUUGUCAAUGAUAUUUAUACUGACAUUUUGAAAACCCCUUUCAAUUAAAAACAGCGUGCUUUGUAUAUUAUCCUAUCCGGGGUAUAUCAUUCCCACAGAUGUAAAUGUUUUUGACAAAGGAGCGUAUGUUAUGGGCUCCCAUUCUACUUCUCGGUCCAAAGUUCUCACAAUCCUUCUCUCCUGAUCUUUUUUCCACUAUUUUCUUCUUUGACGCAUGUCCGGCUGGAACCCAAAAUCGUAUCGGGCCUUGUGAUGUACUGGCUUUAGAGUCUUAACUAUUCCUUGUAGGUACCUUCCCAAACUUUUCCUUGCUCGGGCUCCCUUUCCUACAGUCAACUUGAACCCAUCUUGGUAUUUCUCGACAGUUUUGGCUCGAGAAUUAUGUUUCCCUCAAUGACGAAUGUGGCAUUCACAAAUUCAAGAGAUCGGAAGGAACAUUUCAGAGCGUCUUUACUCACUUCAAUAUAUGGUGCGUCGGUAGAAAUAGAUGCUACAAUGUCUUCUUCUCCCUUGACAGUGACCAAACAGCCAUCAAUGAUAAAUUUCACUUUUUGAUGGAGGGAUGAUGGGACUGCUCCAGCAGAAUGGAUCCAAGGUCUUCCCAAGAGACAAUUGUAUGAUGGUGUAAUGUCCAUGACUUGAAACUCAACAUCGUAUAUGUAGGGACCCACUUCUAGAUGGAUCUCGAUUUUUCUCAUAACUUCUCGUCUUGUUCCAUCGAAUGCCCUUACUGUAGAAUGACAGGGCCUUAGAUAGGAUAAAUCCAUCGGAAUCCUGGAAAGUGUGGCCAAAGGCAUGACAUUGAGUGCCGAUCCAUUGUCGAUAAGCACGUUCGGUAUUAUAUAGCCCUUACAACGGGUUGUGAUAUGCAAUGCUUUCACUGAGCCUCUACCAUUGGGCGGUAUUUCAUCAUCACUAAAAGAAAUAAAAUUAUCCGCAUUCAAGUUGUUCAUCCAUCUAUCCAAUUUUUCAACGGAUACAUUUUUUGCCACAUAAGCUUGAUUUAACACUUUCAGCAGAGCGUUCCAGUGUGGUUCUGAAUUCAAAAGCAGAGAUAAUACCGAGAUUCGCGCUGACUGCUUACUCAAUUGUUCUACCACGUUGUACUCACUGUGCUUGAUUAAUUUUAAGAAUUCCUGUGCUUCCUCCUCGUCCACAGGCUUUUUAGCUUCUUGUUCAGGCACAGUUUCAUGCUCAUCUUCGGUCACGUGCAUCGGUGCUUUUCCUUUCUGUUUCAAGUCACUGUUCUUCUUUAUCUCCUUCGAAUAACAUCUUCCACUACGAGUGAAAUGACCUACUUUCCCGACGCUUCCAGUCAUGGCUUUAGGAUUUUCAUCUUCAGGUGUGACGAUAUUAACGUCAUACUUCCAUGGUACUGCUUUAUUGUCCUUGUAAGGGAAAGGAAACGGUACUUCAAUUAUCAUUUUUGGUUUCACCGGUUCCUUCCUUGUAUCGCAAUAAAUUACGAAUGGUCGAUCGGCGCUAUACAGACAACCUGACGAUUGAUUAUCGGAGGUACAUACUUCUUUCUCAUUGUCCUCUCCUUCAUUAAUGAUCUCAAUCUCCUUAUUAUCUAUCCGGUCUUGCAGUAACCUUUUAAAUUCCUCGCAUGAUUGAAUGUCGUGCCCUACAAUUCUAUGAAAAUCAAAAAAAACCUGACAUUCUUUUCUGAGAUUAUCGUCGGGGCGACAGAGCAAUCCAUUCUUAACCAGUACCUCCCAGAUUUUCUACAGAGGCGUCCUUAUUUCUGAAACACAUCUUCUAACUUGCCAUUCAUCUUCUUUCCCCACUGUGCUCACAUUCCCUUCAGUAUGGUUAGGGAACGGGUUACUAUCGAAUCGUAGGAUACCCGCAUCAAUUAGUCCUUGAACUCUCCUUUUAAAAGCUAGGCAAUUUUCUGUGGAAUGUCCCUGGUUUCCUGCAUGGUAUGCACAACUAGCGUUUGGGUCGUACCAUUUCGGGUAUGAGGUUUAAGGGGUGCCAUGUAAUAGGGAGAUAUCAAUUGUUUCUCCAAGAGUUUUGGGUACAAUUCCCCAUACGACACAGGGAUAGGAGUAAAUUGUGGCUUCUCAGGGUUGGGCCUUAUUGGUCUUGGUUCGUUUCUGGGUUGGUUUUGAACUGGUGUAGUGUUUUGUGAAAAAGUGGUGACGGGUCUUUGGUUGUUCAUGGCGUAUACGGGGUAGGAGGGAGGUGGUGUUUGGUAGUAAGGGGUUUGAGGAGGAUAAUAAAAAUUUGGAGGUGGAUAAUUUCGAGGUCGGGGUUGAUUUGGAUAUGGAUUAGGGGCAUAACGGUUUCUCAUUCCCACCAUGUGGGCUUCUGGUUCUUUCUUCUUCAUAGGCGCUGCCCUUUUUGAACCUUCUGAACCUUCCAUUCUACCGCUCUUGACGGCAUUCUCUAUGAGCUCACCAGAUAUUACAAUAUCCGCAAACUCCUUCGUGGCACUUCCCACUAGUUUUUCAUAAAACGGCGCCUUUAAGGUGUUGAUAAAGAGAACGGUUAUCUCCGUUUUUGUUAGUGGGGGUUCCACUUGGGCCGAGACGUCUCUCCAUCUCUGCGCAUACUGUCUGAAGGUCUCUGAUGUCUUUUUCUCCAUCAUUUGCAAGGUCAUCCGGUCUGGCACCAUGUCUGAUACAUGCUUGUACUACUCGCAGAAUGCAGACGCCAAGUCCUUCCAGGAUCGAAUCUUUUCUCUACUAAGUUGGUUGUACCACCGAAGAGCUGACCCUGUUAGACUAUCUUGAAAGCAAUGUAUAAGUAGCUUAUCCUCGUUCACAUAACCGGUCAUUUUUUGACAGAACAUGAUGAGAUGUACUUUUGGGCACCUUGUCCCAUCAUACUUUUCAAAAUCAGGCGCCUUGAAUUUCGGAGGCAAGAUUAGAUCAGAUACCAAACUGAGUUCUUUGGCACCUAGUGCGGAGAAGACUUCAGUGCCUUCUAUUGCUUUGAAUCUUUCCUCUAGACUUCUAUAUUUUGCAUCAUGAUUAUCCAAUUUCAACUUGGCUACCUCUGCUGGGUCGUCCAGAUCUGGAACUAGUGGAUCAGCAGGGCUUGCCCCUGGGUUUGACACGAAUAUUCCUUGCCCCAGAUUAGUGGGUGGAGCAGGUGGCGUAGGUCGUUGUUCCAAGACUGUGGGUUCCCCUUGAGUAUACCCUCUUUGUGUUGUAUAUGCGGGUGGUGGAGUGAAUCCCAGGGGAUAGAGUGGAUCCUGAUCGUGGUGAAUUCUUGAUUGAGGUUCCAUAACAUCGAGGUUCUGCACGGGUCAUUUUCCUUUGACCAAAGUUGUCAUCAUCUCCAUCAUUUUGGCAAUCUGAUCUCUUUGCUCGAGUGAUUCCUCUCGAGAUCUCACCAUUAGGUCUCUCGUUUCUUGUUGCGAUUUGGCCAGUUGCUCUUGUAAUUCCUUUUGAGCCCUUUCCAUCCUUUCAAUUCUCUCAUUGAAUUCAGCCUCCAUUACUCUAGCUUGUCGGCGCGUUUUAUACGGAUGACGUGGUUCCAGUCUUGUGGUAUUACAACUGCGAAUUAUAUAUUUUAUCUUCAGCGACCGAGUAUGGGAUAUGCAAUGUAUGAAUGAAUGCAUGAAUGUCAAAUGAAUGUCAGUCAUGAAUGAAUAUGCAAAAAUUUGGUGUUAAUUUCAAGAUAGCCCUUAUUUAGGCAUUUCCUUAAUCAAAGGAGUAUUACACAACGUUUCGGUCACUCGUAUAAUUGACUCCUCCAUCAGAAACCCAUUUUUGGCAAUCAAUCUCUAAUCAACACCUUCCUAACAAGAUGCCUUUGAUGCAUGAUGAAAAAUAGAAAUACAGACAAACAACCUUGGUUAGCAUAACACAUAUGAACAGAGAAAAACUAUGGAAAAUCUAACAAAUUAAGCUCCUUGGUCCAAUGGACUCAAUUCCCUUGCAUAGAAAGCGUAAAUGUAAAAGAAGCAGAAGGUAAGAUGUGUUUUUCCGGUGUACUUAUUUCGGUGACUAGUAAACGGACAAAGGUUAGGCAUGGCUCUAGUUAGGUGGCUCGUACAGUUCACUAUAUGCGGUUUUGGCUCUAGAUAGGUACUCGAAUUGUCCAUAUUGUCAUCUACUAAGAUUAGUAUAUAGCCUCAGUCAUUGCCCAUCAUAGGCUCACGAGUUCAAUUCGAGGGAUUACAUUUACUUAUGCCUAUGCGGAGGGACAAGUUAACUCACGAAAGCAUAAGUCAUAUGUAACCCGAAAGUAUUCACUAGCCUGUGCAGAAGGACGAGUUAACUCACGAAGGCGUAGCAUUUACUUUCACUUAAACGGACGGAGCCCGGGUAGAGAGCUCAUGUUAUGCGAAAAUGCAAGUGCACGGUGUGUGGGGAAAAACUCAUAAACCUUUACGUUUUACUUAAAAAACUAAACCAAAACUAAAAUCACAAAAAUUUAAAGUUGAAAAACAACCGGAUAAAACAAGUUAGAAUAUAUACAACACGAUGCAAAUGCAUGAUUUUUUGAAAACAAAAUAUUUGAGGAUCACGACUAAAUGUUAAUUUGAACAAGGAACUUUGAAAAUUUUGACAACACGAGUUUAAUUCGACUCGACUCGCAAGUUUGGUCCCCAGCGGAGUCGCCAGCUGUAGCGACGUAAAAAAAUUUUUUAGCUUCGCUUGGUCACUAAUUGUGGCGAUUUAUUAAGCAUUUGAAAACCAACUUUCGAUUUUAUUAGCAAAGGGAGUCGCCACCGAUCCUUUUUUAUAGGUGUGAUCGGAUACCUAAUAAAAUUAUUUUAAAACAAAAAGAAGGCCAAAUUUAGGUCUACGUGAAAGUCCAGAGAAAAAUUGGGGUUCGGAAGUCAGUUACGCGCGAGAAAGGUAUUAGCACCCUCGCGACGCCCAAAAUUGGUAUCUCAUAAACAUGUGUUGACUUGAUUUUCAAAAAUACGAGUUCAAUAUAAUAUUUAAUCGUGAUCCGAUUGAAAAAUGAGAAUUUUUAGUUUUCGAUUUUUUUUUAGAAAGGGUGUCCCGUUUUUUAACACAAGCCGACGAAUUUCACCCAACAUAGCGAUGAAAUCGAUGGCUUAAUAUUAAAUCGGUACAUUGCCUUAUUUUUGAAAUUAAUUAAAACAUGAGAAAAAAUAUUCCUAAAGUGAGAAAUUAAAAAUAGAUAAAGGACGCAAAAAAAAUGAUAUCAUUAAUGAAAAAUAUUAACAUGGAAUACUAGAAUAUUAGAAUAACAAUAAUAAUGAUAUUUACAAAAUAAAAACAAAUCAUGUACUAAUAAUAAAAUAGGAAAAAUGAUAUAUUUGGUAAUAAUAAUAUAAAAUAAUAAUAUGUACAUAAAAAUACAUAUAUAUAUAUGCAUAUAAUAAAAGUAUGUAAUAAUAAUAAUAAUAUCUACAAUAAAAGAAAAUAUUAGGAAACGUACAUAAAAAAUAUAUACAUAAAAAAUUUACAACAAUAAUAUAAAAUAAUGAUAUGUACAAAAAUAUAUAUAUACAUAUGUACAUAAAAUAUACACUAAUAUAAUAAUAGUUAUAAUAAUACUAGCAAUAGUAAUAAUUUGUAAUAAUAAUAUAUACACAAUAUGGUAUUUAAAAUAUAUAUAUGUAUAUAUAAUAGUAUUUAAGAAUAUAUACAUAAGAAAUAUAUAACUAAUGGCAUUAAAAAAUAUAUACAUAAUAUAUAUAAAAUACCUAAAAAAAAAAAGAAGGGGGAAAGAAGAGAGAAGGGAGGGGGGAAAGGAAAUCCGGCCAAGGGGGGCCGGUCACCGGCCGAUCGUCGGCCGCCGCCCGUCACCGGCGCCGGCCACCGCCGGCCACCGCACACGGUGGUCGGAAAAGGUAAUUUUUUUCUUAACAAUAUAUGUAUAUAUAAAGAAAGAAAAAAACAACACAAAAAAAAAGAAAGAAAAAAAGAUUCGAAAGAAGAGGAAAAAAGAAAAAAUGCAACCUUUUUAUUAAUGUUUCUUUUGUGUUCAAAAUUUGAAGGGAUUUUUGUGUUUGUCUCCUUUUUCAAUCUUUGUAAAAUCCCCCCUUUACAUGAUUUUUGAAUGGCUUUUUAUAGCUAUCUUUUACAUGAUUUUCUAUUAUUUCUUUUUCUAUUUUGUAGGUGGUGGUGGUAGACAAUGGAUAUCAAAAAUGGGAGGAAAAUGGGGCAAGUGGGAAAGUGGGUAGGUGGCUAGGGUUUCUUGGUUUUUUUGGGGGGGGUUAGGUUUUUUUUUUGGGGUUAGGUUUUUUUGAGGGGGGCUUAAUGGGCUUUUGAAUUGGGUUUAAUAUUUGAGUUUUGUAAUGGGUUUGGGUAGAUGUAAAUGGGUCAUGGGUUAAGGGUUUUAGUGGGUUUAGAGGUUUGGUUGGGUUUUAAUAUAAUCGGGCCUGGGCAAUUUGGACUUCUACAUGUGGCAAGAGAUAAAUAGCAAGCAAUUUAGGGAAACAUAUUGUAUGCAAUAGUAUCAGUUGUUAGACAGUAGCUAAUCACUGCUAACUAGAUAUAUAAAAAUAAAAGUUUCUCAAAAAAAAAUGAUACCUCUUCAGCUUCACAUUCAAACUUGAAGGUCUAUCCUAUAUUUGAACAAAAAAAUUAAGCGUGAACUGUUUUAUUCCAUCUAAUUUUCAGCAUCAUUUAAGUUAUAAAUUUGAGUAUUAUAAUUAAAAUCAUUUGUAGUUGUCAUAACUAUUAUAAAACUAAACAAAACUUACAUGUUUAAAAAAUAGGUACGCUCAACAAAUAAAUUAAGGGUGUACGAGCCCAUUUUGCCCGGGCCCAUACCAACAAAAUAACUCAAAUAAUAAACCCAAAAGUAACAGCCCAUUUACAAACCCAAACUCUGACCCAAAAUUUAAACCCAAACAAAUCAAAACCCUAAAGCCCAAAUGGCCCAAAAUCUAAAACAUUUUUCAGCAAAAUUCAGCAGCAAACCCUAGCUGGCCGUCGCAUGCCUCACGUGGCCUCCUCAUCUGCCACACCUCCAGCUCUCCAUGCCACCAUGUCGGCCACCAUGCCCCUCAGCCUUGGCCACCACGCCCCACGCGUCUGACACUCCCACCUGCUCCACCGUGCCCACCACCUGCAACAAGAACAAACACAACAGCAAAGAAAGCAUGCGAAUGAUGGGGGAAGUAAUAAACAAAAGGAACGAAAAAAAUAUAUUGGCUUUAAAAGCCGAAAUCUAUCAUUUGUAAAAGGGGGGUUUUUUUCUUUUCUGUUUUCGUUUUAACAUUCGUUCAAAUGUUCAAAAAAAUCAAUAAUUAAGAUAGAAUGAAACACAUGUACAAGCCGUGAUUUUAACACUGAAAUCAGAAGUUCAAAGUUGUCAAAAAAAAAAAUCAAAAACCACGAGUAUAAGGUAAUCUUUUUCUUUAUUUUUUUUGUCUCAUUCUCUAAACCUAUUUUCCAUACAUAAAUAUUAAUAUAUAUAAAAAAUACAAGAAAUAAAAAAAUAAAAAAUAUAUAAAUUUUUUUACCUUUUCCGGCCACCGCGUGCGGUGGCCGUCGCCGGCGCCGGCGAGCCUCCGAUGGCCGUCCGGUGACCGGCCCCCUGGCCGGAUUCCCCUUCCCCCCUCCCUUCUCUCUCCCUUCUCUUCCCUCUCUCUUUUUUUUUUCUUUCCCUCUCCCCAAAAGAUUUUUUUGGUUAUUUUAGGCCUUAUAUAGCCCUCCAAAACGACGUCGUUUUGGGGGUUACAUUUAAGCCUCAAAACGACGUCGUUUUGACCAUGCCCGACCCAUCCGACCCGACCCGCUAGGGGAUCCGCGUGUUUUCGUUUGAAUGGGAUAUUUAUGCGCGCAGUCCUUCCGCUUUUUCAGGGUUUUGCAAUUAAGUCAUUUUUCUUGUUUCCAAUUUGGCCCCAUAAUUUCUCGCGCUUUUCGAUUUAGUCCCCGCUAAUGUGCUGCGUUUUAAUGGAAUGGAAUAAUUGUUGUUUCGGUCCCCCUAUGUUUUGUGCGCGCUCAAAUAAGCCCAUUUCUCUUCAUUUCCUUUCACAUUUGCCCCACAACUUUGUUGUUAAUUCAAUUUCAGUCCUUUUUUCGUUUAUUUUUAUAUCUUUAUUAAAUAUCCUUGUUAUUUUUAUAUUAUUAGUAUUAUUAGUAUUACUAUUAUUAUUAUUAUGUAUUAGUAUAUAUUUUUACUAUGUACGUGUAUACAUAUAUAUAUUUUCAUAUUUAAUAUUUUUAUUUCAUUUUUAUUCUAAUAUUUUAUUAAUCUUAUGUUUGUUUCUUUUAUAUUCCAAUGUUAUUAUUAUUAUUAUUAUUUUUAUUAGUUUAUGCUUUGUUAUAUAUUUAUAUAUUUAUAAUGCGUAUAUAUACUUGACAUAUUUGUAUAUACCUCGGUAAUAUUAUUACUAGUUUUUAAUAUACGCAUAUAUUACCUAAAUAUUUUAGUAUUAUGUAUAUGCUUCAUGUAUUAUAUAUGUGUUCUUAAUACUAUACUUUAUUUGUGUCAUGUUUUUAUGUUGUAUUAUUAUAUUUUAAUAUUAUAUUAUAUAAUUAUAUACAUAUAUCUUUUAUAUAUAUUAUCAUUGUAUAUAUUUUAAUAUUAUUAGUUAUAUUUUACACUAUUAUAUACAUUUUUCUAAUAUUAUAUUGUAUAUACUAUUGUUUAUAUAUAUAUAUAUGUGUAUGUAUUUAUGUAGUGUAGAAAAUAGUUUUAUUAUUAUUCUUAUCAUUUCUAAGGUAUGCAUAUACUAUAUAUGUUCUAUGUAUGUUAUAUGGAUUUUUAAUAUCGCUAAAUAUAUAUGUCAUCAUCUUAUAUAUUAUUAUAUUAAAAUAUUUUAAUAUUCAUAAUUUCAAAUUGUUGAUACAUUUUUAUAAUAUAUAUUUACGUACAUACUUUUCAUUUAUUAUAAAUAUACUUUUUAUAUUUUUAUAUUUCAUAUUUUUAUGUAUACAUAGAUAUAGGCAUAAAUACAUACAUCUUAAUUCAUAUAUAUGUAUAUAUACGUACUUAUGUCACGGGCCAAAGUGCAAAACCCGUGACCAUGCCGCAAGUAGCGCCCCAUGGAGGUCUAUCGAUUAGAUGGGGGACAUUCAGCCCACAAGAACUGGCCCGAUUCAAAGAGCUACUAAAGAAGCCUAUCAGAUUGAAGCCUGGUUGGCCCAAUGAUGAAGACAUGGCAACUUAGGCAAUUUUGGUAACUAAUCUUAGAAGAUAGAAUAGAAUCAUAUCUUGUAAGAUUAGAUUAGAUUUGAUAAGGUAAAUCUUGUAAAUCCCUAAAAUCAAGGGAUAUAGUGAAUCUCAUCCGUCGAUGUACAUGUAUCUUGACCGUCGGUUUUGGGGGAGCUCAACUAUAAAUAGAGAGCCUCCCCCUCAUUUGUAAAUCAUCCAUUGUAACUUGAAUUCUUAAGAGUAAUAGAAUUCUUGAGCAUUUACUCAAACACUUUGUGUGCUUUCUUUCUUUAGCUUUCUGUUGUUCUCUUGUGGCUUCUUUUGGCACAAUCGCUUCCGCUAUAUAAAUUGGUGCCUUGGAGGAGUUCUAAAAGAAUCCUCUCUUUUGAAAGUUAAGGCUGACUUGGGCGAGUUUGGACGAACGAAUCGCCUAAGGCCGCACGGAUUGCGAGACGAAAGGUCUAGCCCCGUGACAAGUGGUAUCCGAGCCAAGUUUUGAACCAAGUUAUUCGAGUGGUUCGAAGGCACUGUUGGGAUGUCGAAAGAAGUCGUUGGUCAGAGUGAGCCAAUGGAGACCCGUGGGAGGGCUAGAAAAGCCAGUCGCUCGAGGGAAAUGCUGACAGCUUUGGAGAAUCGAGUGGUCAAUCUUGAGGAAUCCGUAGGGAACGUGAAAGAGAUGCUUGAAUUGGUCGAGGGACGCACAGAUGGGUUAGACUCAAUGGAGGAGCAACUCAGAGAUAUUGUGUUGGAUUCUCUCGGUGCAAAUAGGGAAAAGAUAACGGAAUUACUCGAGUCCACUGAGGUAAAGCUGGCAGAGAGGGAUGAAGCUCUCGAGGAUAUGGUGCUAGCCAUGCAGAAAGAAAUGGAGGAGCUCAAAGGGGAGCUCGCGAUUUACAAAGCCGCUUUGAGUAAUGGGAUGUUGUCUUCAAGGCCGAAGCAACAUGCAAUGGAUGUUCCCAAACCGGAGAAGUUUAAGGGUGCACGAUCCGCGAGGGAUGUGGACAACUUCUUGUGGGAAAUGGAGCAAUACUUCCGAGCGAUGGGCAUCGAGGAUGAUGGCAUUAAGGUAAACACUGCUUCGAUUUACUUUUCUGAUGUUGCUCUCUUGUGGUGGCGGCGUAGGUCCACGGAUGAGAAACCUGGAGGAACGGCUAUUGGAACUUGGGAGGAGUUUCAAGGAGAAUUGAAGAAGCAGUUUUACCCUCAAUAUGCCGAGAAGGAGGCUCGGGCUAAAUUGCGUCGUCUCACGCAACAAGACACUGUUCGGGAGUAUGUGCGGGCAUUUAGUGAGUUGAUGCUUCAAAUCUCCGACUUGAGCGAGAAAGAAGCAUUCUAUUGGUUCGAGGAUGGGUUAAAGCCGUGGGCAAAGCAGGAGUUGCGAAGGCAAGGAAUCACCGAACUUACUGUAGCCAUGGCCGAAGCAGAGUCCUUUGUUGAGUUUGAUCCGGCGGGAGACAAGCUUGAGGCAUCUAAGCCCAAUGGAAGGGGCAAUGGUGAGAGAAACCAUGAAGAAGAUGAAAGGGGACAUAGCGAUGGGGGCAACAGUACUGAUAGCACAAGUGGCAAUGGGAAACCACGAGAUGCGAAGCGGGGAUUAGACAACCCAAGGGACAAGAGGAAGAAGAUGAAAUGCUUCCUUUGUCAAGGACCACACAUGGCGCGUAAAUGUCCAAAUAAAGUGAUGAUUUCGGCAAAGAAUGAUGAGCCGAAGGAGGAGGCGAAGCCUACCGAGGGAAACACAUCGAAAGUCAAUUCGAUGGUGCUCAUUCCUGGGAAGAGGAAUGGAAAUGGGUUGAUGUUUGUGGACGUCAACAUUGCGGGUCAGAAGCGGAGUGCUUUUAUUGAUACGGGAGCAUCAGACUUGUUCAUUUCGGAAAAGGCUGCGAAGAAGCUUGGUCUGUCGAUUAGGAAAUCGAAUAAGAAGAUCAAGGUAGCAACUUCUGAGAAAGCCCCAACUGUGGGAGUAGUUCGUGAUGUGGAACUACAAAUCGGCGAAUGGAAGAGCAAGGAAGAAUUCGAGGUAAUCCAAUUAGAUGAUUACGAUUUUGUGCUUGGCUUAAACUUCCUUGUCAAGAUUCAGGCAACUCUGCAACUAGGGGCCGAUCAAAUCCAUAUUGCCACCGGUCUAUCAACAAAGAGUAUUGUGCCGGUGCAUCGGGAUGUGAAAGUUGGGACUAAGGUGUUAUCGUCAAUCCAACUAGUCGAAGAUGUUCCGUAUGGGAGAAACAUUAAAUCGGCAAAACGGAAUGCUACGAAAGCCUCUUCGGAAGUGUUAGUGGCGCAAGGGACCGAUAUGAAGCCUGCGGGAUCGACUGUGGAGCUGACACCUUUGGGAAAGGUGGGUUGUGCAUCGGGCUUCAAGGGAAAAGGAGCGAUGCAAGGACAGUCGAGACGAGUAAAUGCUACGAGUAAGGUGCAUUGCAAACACUCUGAUAGUGUUUUGAAUUCUGACUUGUUGGCUUGGCAAGGUCGUAGGGGCCCUUUCAAAGUUCAUAAGCGAGGAGGCCAAGGAACUGUGGGCGGUACGAAGCCGAGGUAUGAGAAUCGAGGGGAUUCCAACAGAAACAAGUCAAAAUUGGGGCAAGUUAAAGCGGAGACUACUUGCCAACAGAAUGUACCAACGAGUGGAACGGUUCAAGAUAAGAGGCGACGGAAGUCGAGGCAUAAGUUCCGAAGGAAGGGACAACCUGAUCGCAAGACGAGUCAGGAAGAAGCCGAGGCAAUGAAAGAGUUUCACAGUGAAUCAAGUCAGUGUCAUCCAGAAAACGCAACGAGGGCGUUGCGAGAUUGGGUAGGGGAGAAUGUCACGGGCCAAAGUGAAAAACCCGUGACCAUGCCGCAAGUAGCGCCCCAUGGAGGUCUAUCGAUUAGAUGGGGGACAUUCAGCCCACAAGAACUGGCCCGAUUCAAAGAGCUACUAAAGAAGCCUAUCAGAUUGAAGCCUGGUUGGCCCAAUGAUGAAGACAUGGCAACUUAGGCAAUUUUGGUAACUAAUCUUAGAAGAUAGAAUAGAAUCAUAUCUUGUAAGAUUAGAUUAGAUUUGAUAAGGUAAAUCUUGUAAAUCCCUAAAAUCAAGGGAUAUAGUGAAUCUCAUCCGUCGAUGUACAUGUAUCUUGACCGUCGGUUUUGGGGGAGCUCAACUAUAAAUAGAGAGCCUCCCCCUCAUUUGUAAAUCAUCCAUUGUAACUUGAAUUCUUAAGAGUAAUAGAAUUCUUGAGCAUUUACUCAAACACUUUGUGUGCUUUCUUUCUUUAGCUUUCUGUUGUUCUCUUGUGGCUUCUUUUGGCACAAUCGCUUCCGCUAUAUAAAUUGGUGCCUUGGAGGAGUUCUAAAAGAAUCCUCUCUUUUGAAAGUUAAGGCUGACUUGGGUGAGUUUGGACGAACGAAUCGCCUAAGGCCGCACGGAUUGCGAGACGAAAGGUCUAGCCCCGUGACACUUAUACAUACUUAAAUAUAUUUUUCAUAUUUCAUAAUUCUUAUAUACUUACAUAUAUCUAUGCAUAUUUUACAUCAUAUAUAUACUUAUAUAUAUUCUUUAUAUUCUUAAAAAUGCUUUUUGUGUAUUUCACAUAUUUUAUAAUUCACAUACAUAUAUUUUACAUUAUCACGAUUUGUAAAUAUAUAUAAACACAUAUUUACAUUUUUAUUUUUAUAAUACUUACCGAUUUUUUAUAUAUGUAUAUAUUUAUCUAUGUUUUCAUAUUCUAUAAUUUAUAUGCAUUUCUUAUUUUAUGGCUUAAAAUUAUACAUGCAUAUACAUUUUUACAUAAUUGUAUUUAUUGUCAUCAUUGUUAUUUGGCAUUUGUUUAUUUAUUCAUGUACACUUGUGCUUUUUCUAAAAUGUUAGUUCUAUUUAUUUAUUUGUAUGCUUUGUUUAUGUAAUCGCCUCGUCAUUUCAUUUUGCCUAUUGUAUUGUUGUUACUCACUUUACUUUGCUCACCUUGUCGUAUUCGUUGUUGUUUUGUCAAGCAUUGACACUAAACAUCAAAAGGAAAAUUUUUCUAAAUGAGGCAAUAUUUCGCGUUUGGAAAAUCGAGAAAACGUGCCCUAACGUGCUGGGUUUCGAUUCCUCGUUCGACUAAAUAGCCAAAUAUCCUCUUAAAGCUUCAAAGUAUGGUUUCAUUAAACUAUAAGGUGAUCUUGGUUUCGAUGGUUUAGAGUAUCGUGUCCUAACGUGGUGGAUGUGAUAUUCCUUCGGAACAAGAGAAUCUUAUAUUUCAAUUCACGUUAUCAGAGUUUCUUUUAAGGAUCGUAUUUUUAAAACUCUUCAAAUUUUUAAUUUUCGACACUAAGACACUGAUUAAUCAACUAGGUACCAAUUUUGGGCGUAUCGAGGGUGCUAAUCCUUCCUCGUGCGUAACCGACUCCCGAACCCAUUUUUCUUUUUUUGAAUUUCAUAGACCAAAAUCUUUGUUUUAAUAAAAAUUAAGUCGUUUAUUAAAAACAACAACUUUUCGAGGUGACCCGAUCACACCUUAUCAAAAAAGAUUGGUGGCGACUUCCGUUUUCAUGCUAUUUUCAAAAUCCAAGUCGACCCUGUUUUCAUCCAAAAAAUGGUGUCAACAAAGGGUUUGCUAGGAAAAUAUUUGUAAAUUUUGACUGAUUUAAUUAUAUGUUUCAGGUGAAAUUCCUCCUGUUAUUGAAAACUUGAGUUCUCUCAAAGAACUUUAUCUUGAGAAUAACAAAUUGACAGGUAUAGUUUCAUGUAUCUUUUCUUCUCUUUUUUGUUAUUAAGAUUAUGCAAUCUUUUAAAGUAAUUAAAAUAAAAAGUCACUUAAAAGAUUAAAACGGUAAAGUCAUUAUUAUGCUCAACAAAUAAAUAAAUGGAGAAAUCCCAUCAUGGUUUGGUUGCUUCACUGAACUUCAAGGCUUAUUUUUAUACCUUAACAACUUCAUUGGUGUUAUCCCAUCUACUCUAGGCAAUUUGUCAAAACUAGAAAAGUUGAACUUGUUUAGCAACAAUUUAGAAGGGAAGUUUCCUGUAACGAAUGGAAAUCUUUCAAACUUGAAAGAGUUAUAUCUUGACAACACGUCUCUUUCAGGUUUUAUGUCUUUGUUGAUCUUGAUUAUAUUCUCAUUAAUAAAAUAUUAGAUUAUAAUUAAUAAUGCUCUCAUUGCAAGUAAUCUUUCAUCAUGAAUAUUUGAUAAUCUUUAUAAAUUACAAGUACUAUUUUUAAAAUCGAAUCAAAUUUCCGGAAAAAUUCCAAAUAGCAUAUUCAAGUGUAAAGAACUGUGGGCUUUAUCAUUAUAUAACAACUCUUUAGGGGGAAGUUUGCCUUUAGAAAUUGGGAAUUUGACUGUUCUCCAACAGUUGUUUCUUGGUUUCAACAACCUCAUAGGUAAAUAAAUCCUCAUUAUCAUGAAACUUAGUUGUAGUGUAAAUCUUUAUUCGUUUUAUGUUAAUUGAGCCAUCAACCAAUUACCUGAUGUAAAAGUAAAGGCUGCUUGCUUUAGGAGUUCGUUUGUAAUUUUCUUUCCUAUUUUGACAUGCCUCUGUAUUUAGUAUCUCAUGUUUUACUAACCGCUUUGGUUAAACAUUUUAUUUGGUCAAGAAAAAAAAAUUAAGGCAACUUCUCUAAAUCACAAAUCUUGCUUUUAUAAUAUUAUAAAGCGAGUUACUUCCAUAAAAGUAGAAAUCUGACUUGCAAUCAGAUGUAUGGACCAAUGAACCAAUCAAAGAUGACCAGUGUUUCCCAAAUUCAGUCUUGUAUUUUAAGGCUUUCCGUUUGUAAUUAAUAUAUUUUUUGCCACUUUGCUUUGGCCCUCCUCACUUGUCUCUUUUUCUUACAACUUUUUUAUUUAUUUAUUAUAUUGGUGUAGUUUAUUUAAGCUUGUUUAGUUUUUAGUUUCCUACUAUAAUAAUACUUCUGACUCCGAAAAACAUUUGAUACUUUAGUUACUAGAACUUGGUCCAUGAGAAAAAUCUUAUAAUUUCACUUUAAAUUUACAAAUUUUUCUAAAAAUCUCAAACUAUGUAAAUGGUCAAAAGUUCAAUUGUGUUUGAGUAUUUAUUAAAAUUUCUCUAUAUCCUGAGUUACUUCUAAGUUAGGUAUCUACAUUAAACAUAAAUUUUAAAAAGUACACACACAAAGAUAACAUAAUUCUAGCACCAAGUUAUUCUGACCAACUUAUUUAUAUUUUUAGGUAAAAUCUCAUCAACUAUUGAAAAUUUGACCACUCUCGAAGUUCUUGAUCUUUCCAAUAACAGCUUAUCAGGUACAAUAUCAUUUUUUUUCUUUUUGUUGUUACAUUUAUGCAAUCUAUUAUAUAUUAUUAAUUAGCUUUUGGCUUAAAAAUACAUUCAAUACUUUAACCAUUUUAACAUAAGAAAAAUAUAGGAAAUAUUGGUACAAGUAAAAAGAGAGCAAUAAUUUGAAUUACAAACUAUUGAACUUUAAUGAUGGAAAUCUGAAUAAUUUGAAUAUUGAACUUAAAAGAAUCCACAUAAAAUCUAAAAUAUAUUGGUUUUUUUUUUACUUGAAAUCAUCUAAAAGAUUUACUGUUUAUGUAUUAAUAAAAUAAGUAAUAUGUGGAUUUUUUAUAUAUAUGAAACUUAAUAUUUAAUAAUUUAUAUAUAAAAAUAAUGUCUAGUGACAGUAAAUAAAAUGAGAUAUGCAAAAAUAAAUAUGUAAUGAAUGUAUUGUUUGCCACUUUGCCUUCACCCUCGUCACUUGUCUCUUUCUCUGGGAGACUAUGACCGUCUUUUACUUGUAAAAGAAUAUUGGAGUUUUUUUUUUCUUAUAUAUUUAUAGAAUAUUGAACAUUAGUUGUGAGUAUUUUAAGGCUUUCCCUGUUUUGGGGUUGUAGCCCAAUAAUUGUGGCUAUUUCUUACUCAAUUGGUCAGAUUCUAUGCCUUAAUCCAUAGAAUCAAAGUAUUUAUAGAAGUUUGAACAUUAGAUAAGUAAUAAACUCAACUAUUUCCCUCCUCUCUAGAUAGUCUUAUCCCCUACCUAAUUUCACCGUUAAUCAAAUGAACCUUGCAGCACUAAAAUCUCAUAGAUUACUUUUACUUAUGUUUGCAAUUAAAUUGAGGUAACUUGUAAAUUCAAACAUCACAACUCUUGAUGUAUUAGGGAUGGAUUUCACAAACACCAUACCAUCUCAACUGGAAAUCUUCUUUCCUUGCCAAACUCAACAUUUGUAACAAUAGUUUCUAUGUUUGUUACCCAUUGAGUAAACUAAUUUGCAUCGGUUAGAAUAUUUCAACUUUGGUAACAAUAAUUUCUGAAAUUUAAAAGCUUGUAUUUGUAUAGUAACAACUUCACUAGUGUUAUCCUUAUCUACCCUAAGCAAUUUGUCAAAACUAGGUAACAAUAUUACCGUUGUAGGUCAUCUACCGUCAGAAAUAUUUGAUAACCUAUCUAAAUUGCAAAUCUUAAAGAUGAAGGCAAUAAGAUUUCGGGUAGAAUUCCAAAUAGUUUAAUCUAGUGCAAAGAGUUGACAUUUUUAUCAUUGUAUAACAACUCUUUGGAUGGAAGUAUCCCUAUGGAAAUUGGAAAUUUUACAUAAUAAUCAAGGGAUGUUGUGCCUACAUCCUUGGAAUGAAAAUUUUAAAUAUAUUGAAGAAUGAUUAAAAGUUAUUAAAUUCAAUUAUUCCUCUCCUUGUGACUUGCCUUAUACCCACACAAAACCUUAUGGUAGAAGUUGGCUUCUUCAUCUUGGCUUUUGAUCCAUCAUUUUUCUUUGGGUUCAUCCACAAUUAUUGUUUGUUCUCAGCUUGAAUUAAUCAAAGUAAUAAUUUUCUUUGUGUUAAAUGAUUUUGAGAUUUUGGGUGAAAUAUUGAUGGUCACUCUUGUUUGUUUUAUAUAUUUCGAAAUUUAGAGAUUGACUUAUCAAGAGAAGAUGAUGAUGAUGAUGAGUAUUAGUGAAGGAAUAACAAUAAACACAAUCUAAAGAUAAGUUAAAAAAUAUAAGUCAGUAUUUUUUAGAAACAAUCUAAAACUGUUUUUAGCCAUAAGUUCAAUAUAAGAGAAACAGAGUACAUGACUUCUCUCUAAUUACAAAAAAAAUAAAGUGCAUGGGUUCUAUCAUCAAGCUAUUUUGACAAAUUUGAUUAUAUGUUUUACGUGAAAGCCUUUCGGCUAUUAACAACUUGACUACUCUCAAGAUCAUAAAUCUUUCUAAUAAAAACAUAACAAGUAUAAUAUCAUUUCUUAUAACAGUUGAUAUUAAAUAACAAUGAUUUAGAAGGGCAGAUUCCUAUAAUUGCUAGGAAAUUUUCAAGCUUCAUUUGGUUAUAUUUUCAUAAUAAUUCUUAUUCAAGUUCUUACAUGUGUAAAUCUUAAAUAUAUUUUCACCAGUAAAAAAUUAGUUUCAAAACUAGUCAUCUCAUUACAGGCCAUCUACUAUCAAGAUGUUUGAUAACAUUUCUAAAUUGCAAUUAUUAAGCUUGACACAUAAUCAAAUUUCAGUAGAAUUUCAAAUAGCUUAUUCAAGUGUAAAGAGUUGAUGUAUUUAUCAAUGCAUAACAACUCUUUGGAGGGAAUUAUGCCUAUAGAAAUUGGAAACUUGACUAUGCCCUACAACAAGCUCAUUAUCAUGUGAGUUCUUACUAGUUUCUUUACUAUUCAACUCCUCCGUCCCUUUUCACCUAGACUAUAUCUGGGGUCUAGCGAUAUUUUUGGGUUUCUAGUAGUCUAUAUGUGCAGAUAUAUGUGUGUUUGUUGAUUUCUUAGCAAAAAAUUAUAUCAAUACGGGGCUUAUCACUAUUAUAAAUGUUUGGCUUAAAAUGCACAUGUGUUUUUGAUAAUUUGUAGCGAGAGAUAAAUAGCAGUUUAGGGAAACAUAUUGUAUGCAAAAGUAUCAGUUGUUUGACAUUAGCUAAUCACUGCUAACUAAUAAAAGUUUCUAAAAAAAUAUAUAUUUGUUCAGCUUCGAUGAUGUAUAUCCUAUAUUUGAACAAAAAUAUUAAGCGUAAACUAUUUUAUUCCAUCUAAUUUUUAUCGUCAAUUGAGCUAUAAAUUUGAGUAAUAUAAUUAAAAUAUUUUUGGGUUGUCAUAAGUAGUAUAAAACUAAACAAAAUUUGCAUAUUUAAAAAUAGGUAAUUGAAACAGACACUAAUAUGCUCAACAAAUAAAUUAAAGGUUUGCUAGGAAAAUAUUUAUAAUUUUUUACUAAUGUAAUUAUAUGUUUCGGGUGAAAUUCCUCUUGUUAUUGGAAAUUUAACUUCUCUCCAAUCACUUUAUCUUAGCAAUAGCAAAUUGACAAGUAUAAUUUCAUGUUUCUUUUAGUCUCCUUUUUGUUAUUAAAUUUAUGCAAUCUUUUUUAGUAAAUAAAAUAAAAGUUACCUAAAAAAUAUUAAAACCUUAGAGUCAUUAUUAUGCAUUUAGAAAAUGUAAGAUGUUUUGAAGUAAAUUAACCAAUCAUUUCAUCAUAAAAAGGAUUAUAUGGAACAAUUACUUCACAUUUGCAUAUGUUACUUCUAUUCAAAUUAUAUCACCUCAUCAUACUUUUAAAAAAUGUCAAACUUUUUGUAGUAUUUCUAACUCAAUCAAUAUAUAUUCUAUAUAUAUAUAUAUAUAUGUAAGCCUCAACUUCAAAACUAAAAAAAAUGAUUGAUUAAAAUAUCUUUUUGAAUUAAAAUAUGUAAUUUUAUUAAAAUAUUAAAAUAUAAUAUAUAAUUAAACUCUACUAAAGUUUUAGUUUAAUAUUUUCAUUAUUAGACAGCUUAAAAUUAUUAAACUCUUUCAAAUAAUAUAUUUCUUAAUACAAAUAAGACUCAAAUAUAUUAUGGGACCAAUGUAUCUAAUCAUUUUCUACAAUUAUGAAUUUUGUGAUUUGUUAUUUUUUGUGUUUAGUGCUUGACAUUUUUAUUUUUUUGGAUGUUUUAUGUUAAUUGAGCCAUCAACCAAUUACUGUAAAAGUAAAGGCUGCUUGCUUUAGGAGUUCGUUUGUAAUUUUCUUUCGUAUUUGGACAUGUGUCUGUAUUUAGUAUCUCAUGUUUUACUAACCGCUUUGGCUAAAUAUUUUAUUCGGUCGAGAAAAAUAAAUUAAGACAACUUCUCUAAAUCACAAAUCUUGCUUUUAUAAUAUUCUAAAGCGAGUUACUUCCAUAAAAGUUAAAAGUAUUGAAUGUAUAAUUUAACUAUUUUACCACUCAGCCAGGGGGGGGGGCAGGCAUGGGCCCGGCCCCCCCUAAAAUGGGAAAUUUUAAUUUAGGUCCUUUAGAUUUUUUUAAAAUUUUAAAUUAGUAAAGGUAAAAUUACACUUUGGCCCCCCUAAAAUUAUAAAAAUUCAAUUUAAUCCUUUAAAAAUUAUAAAUAUAUAGACUAUAAAAAAUUAAAAUUUCCUUCGGCCCCCCUAAAAAUUUUUUUCUGGCUUCGCCCCUGCACUCAGCUAAAACUUCAUUUUAAUAUUUCUAAAAUUGUAAUUUUCACACACACAAAUUAAUAAAAUUUCUAGUAUAUUAUUAAUUAGCUUAUAAUAUUUUAAAAUAAUACUUUUGGAUGAAAGGAAAAAAAAUAAUGACGCAUGUGAUACUUAACAACUUUUAAGGUGAGAAAAAUAUAAGAAAUAAUGGUAAAAAGAAAUUUAAUAAUUUAAAUAAAAAAUUACAUGACUUAAAAGAUCCAGACCUAAAUAAUUUGAAUGUUAAAUAAAACCAGAUUCAAAUUAAAAAUAUUUAAAAUUAUUUAAAUUGAUGUAACCAAAAUUGUUUGGAUUCACUGUUUAUAAGUUACUAAUUGAAGUAAUUAAUAUAAAUGGAUUUUGCAUGUAUCACAUUUAAUAUUUAAUAUUUUUAAUUUAAUUAAUGAAAAAGGACUUCACGUUAGUGUAUUACAUCAAAUUAUUAUGUUACAUAAUCAUACCUUUAAAAAAAUGGUCUAAGUAGUUAUUUUAUUAAAGUAAUAAUUUUGUGUGUUUGAUGAUUUUGAGAUUUUGGAUGGUAUAUUGAUGGUUACAAUUGUGUGGUAAAAUUUUCAAAAAGAUAUGUGUAUAUAUUCAAACAUGUAUCCAUAUAUCUUGUUUGUUUCAUAUAUUUCAAAACUUAGAAUUGAGUUAACAAGAAAGAUGAUGAUUAGUAUUAGUGAAGAAGGUGUUCAACAAUAAACUAAAGAUAAGUCAAAGAUCAAAAAUUUAAGAUUUGAUAGAAAAAAAAAUCCGAAACUAUGAAUCUUUACCUUAUUAUUUAUUUGCUUAAUUAAUCUUUGCUCAGGCAUAGUUCCUAUUAUUUAGGUGUUGAAUAGGAAAGAAACAGAGUACAUGAGUUCUAGCUUUGAUUAGAGUACAUAGUUCAUAUUAUAUGAUUCAGACUUAUACCUACCCGCAUUAAAACUAAGUUCUGUUUUAAAAAUAAUAAUAAAUUUUGAUGAUUUUGAUUAUAUGUUUUAGGUGAAAUUUCUUUUAUUGGAAAUUUUACUUCCCUCGUCUACAUCAAUCUUGAUGGUAACUACUUAACAGGUAUAAUAUCAUUUUCAUUCUCCUUUUUGCUGUUACAGUUUUUCAAUCUCUUACUAGUUAAUUAUAAUAGAAUUUUGCUAUGUUUUACUAAUUAGCUUUACUAUCUUUUAACGUCGGACUAUAAUACUUUUUGCUUAGAGAACAAUUAAUUACACAUCUAAUCCUUUAAAUACUUUGAAAUAAGAAAAAUGUUGACACAUUGGUAUAAUAAAAAUAUCAAUAAUUUGAAUUACAAAUUACUUAAAUAUCUAAUCCACGAUUGGCAACACGUUCCUGAUCUAAAAUAAUAUAUUCAUCCAAUUAACUAAAUUAACAGCAAAAUUUAGUCAUUUAUGCGAUUAAAAUCCUUUUUUGAAAUUUUACAAAAUUGUCUUUAACUUUUUACUUUUAUUCAAUUUAGUCCCUAAGCCCCAAACAUGCAAUUUAACCACUUUUUCAUAAAAAUCAAUUCAACCGAAUCAUCUAAGAGCUCAUAACAGUUUGUAAUUAUUUUACCUCAAGUACAAGUAAAUUUAUCAUUUUAACAAUUUAGUCCUUAAACAUUAAAAUUACCAAAAAAUCACUUUCCAAAAUAAUCUAAUCUAUCAACAAAGCUUCAUAUUCCACCAAAAACUUUAAGAAAUGACUUAAUUCAUCAAUGUUAACAUUUAUAACAUUUAACUAUUUUACAAAUUAGUCCUCAGGUUAGCUAGAGUAAAUUAAUAUGAGCUCAAAAACAUAAAAAUUACUAAAAGCAAGCUAAGAUUCACUUACAAUUUAAGGCUUCAAAAUUGAAAAUAUGGAAACCCUAGUUCCCUUAGUGCCGUCGAGAAGAUGAGUGAAAUGAAAUAAAAAAUAUAUAAUCUUUAUUUUACUUUAGUUUAAUAUAUAUACUUAGUUUUUUUUUGUAAUUUUCAAGUCUUUCAUAAUUAAGCUUUAAUUAAUUACUAUUAACCUUAAUUAAUUUUGUCCAUAUAUAUAAAUAAUCAUGUUAAUACAUUAAUUUUACUUCUACUGGUUAAAUUAUUCAUUUAGUUCCUUUAAUGAAAUAAAUUCAACUUUUGCUAUUCAGUCCUUUUUACUUAAUAAACUAUCUAGUUGAUAAAAUUUCCUAACUAAAAUUUAAUACGACUUUAAAGACCUCAUAAAUAUUAUUUAUUAUAAUAUUUACGGACUAUUACAUCGGAAUUAUGAUAUCAAAAUCACUAUUUUUGACACUACUGAAAAUCGAGCUAUUAUAACACCACAAGAAAUAAAUAUAAAAAAAUAAAUAAUCGAAGAAAAAAAUUAUUAUUAUUAUUAAAAAAAUAGAAAAGAAAAAUAUAUAUGAUUUUAUGUUCUAUGCCUCGCCUCCCUUCCAUUCUCCAUAUACACUUGUGUGUAUAUAUAUAUAAAAUAAAGCGGAGAAUGAGAGGGAGACGGAAGGCGCAUAAUACAAUCAUAUUUCAUAUUAUACUAAUAAAAGGCUAAUAGCUAAAGAAGAUGGCUCACGCCUCCUCACUUUCUAACUUAUAUGUGUACUAAACCUACAAAGAAAGGAUUUCAUGCUCCCCUUUCACGCAUGUAUAAGUUUAUAUAAUAACUAACAAACCCUAAAAUAAGAAGAGAUAAGUUUCUAAAAUUUUGGUGUUGUCUCAUGUCAAAUAUUUCUUACAAUUCUUAUAUUCUUUUUUUUUCAAUAUAUCGGAAAAUAAUUGUAUUUAUAGAGAAAUUAGUCGGUUAAGUGUUACAUUUAAGUAAAAUUCGUAUCUAAAGUUAAUUAAAAUAAAUAAUAAAAAUAUGUCAGUUACGUGCAUUAUCAAAAUCCAUUCACUUAGCCAAUACUUUCUCUCAAGCAUUUCAUGCAUUUAUCAAUCCGAACAUAUCACAAUCGUUCAAGUUAUUUCAAACACUCACUUAGCCAAUAUUUUUUUUAUUUUUUAAAAUUAAAAAUUAUUAAUUGGUGACAUGACAUCUACGUGUAUGUCGCGUCAAAAAAAUUAAUAGAAGUGUUAACUAUAUUAAGUAUUUUAUUAAGUAAAUUUAUUUGAUGAUUAAAUUUUACAUUAAAAUAAUUUAAGAUUAGAAUUUUAAUUUGCUGCCCUUUUGAAUUGAAAAAAAUAUUGAAUCACCUACCCUUUAGAUUUACCUUAUUAUUAAUGUGUUGAAUUAACUGUUGCUCGCCAUGCAAAAUUGAUAUUAUGGAAUAGGAGAGAUAUAGAGUACAUAAAUUUUUUUAGCUUUGAUUACAGACUACAUUGUUGAUAUUAUAUGUUCCAGAUUUAUAAAAAAAAAAAAAAAAAAACUUAGUAAAUUUUGAUGAUUUUAAUUAUAUAUUUUAAAUGAAAUUAUAUCAGUUAUCAGUAACUACUUUGGAGUUAGAAAAUUGUAAGAAGAUUGGUAUAAUAAAAUAUCAAUAAUUUGAAUAACAAAUUAAUUAAAUUCAGUAUACCAAAUAUGAUAAUUUGAAUAUUAAACUGGUUUGCACCUCUACUCUACACUCAACCAAAUUUAACAUAAUUUAUUAUGAUAAAAAAAACUAUUUAUUAUGCUAUAAUUUAGGCUCCAAAAAAUGUUAACUCAUAAAAAAACAUUGUCAAGACCCAAGACAGGAGUUAGAAUGAAUAUUUAUAUCUUUUUAUAUUUUUAUAUUUUUCAUUUUAAAUUUAUAUUUUCAGUUGAGAAUUUCAUAACACUAUAACAACAAAAGGUUAGAUGUUGUGAAAUAAACUAAUAAUUCAUUUUAUACACUUCAUCCAUGUGUAUAUAUUGCAAAUCUUAUUUAUUUACAUUUUUUGUUCCAAAUAAAGUUGAAUUUAUAAAUAUUAUUUUAUUUAGAAAAAAGUAUGAAUAUUAUUGUGUCUUAUAUUUAAAAUAUUAUUAUAUUAUUUUUUCAGUAAAGAUUUUUAUAUAAAAAUAUAAACAAGAUAGAAAUACCCUCAAAUAGGGGCAUAGCUACUAGCUAGGGACUGGUAGGGACCCCAGUCCCCCUAAAAUAGAAAAAUAUUCAUUUAAGCUUUUUAAUUAUUUUAAAAUUUUAAAUUAGUAAAAGUAAAAUUGCACUUUGCCCCUUAAAUAUGAUAAAUAUUUGAUUUAAUCCUUUAAAAUUAUAAAGAUAUAUAAGGUAUUAAAAUGGUGAAAUUAUUUUUACUAUAGUAAAUUACAAUUUAAUUUCGACCCCUAAAAAUUUCUUUUUAUAUCUUGUCAUAUAAACUUAAAAUUUAUAUUUUAAAUUCUUUCAUUUUCAUUUUUUUUUCUUUUAAGCCAUUUUUUGUACUUCUUUUUCAUUAAUUACGUAUAGAUAUUCUAAUUACCUUAAAUUUAUAAAUACAAAAAAUUAUUAUUCUCAACUUGGCAGCAUUGCUAACCCAACCAAAUUAUUUGUGUAAACAAUAUAUAUAUAAACAAACAUGCAAAGUCUCUUGAAUUAAUGAAAAUGAUAAUGAGUAUUGACUAUUUUUCUAUUUUUCCAUAGCAAAAAUUUUUACUAUUAAUACAAUUUUAUCAUUUAUAAGUAAGACUUCUAAUUUCACUAAAAGUAUUUUUAUUAAGAAAAUUUAUUUAAAAAAAUAAUAAAAAAAUUUAUUUAAAUUAUUAAGCUUAUAGUGCUCAAAUUAAAAGCAAUAUAUAUAUAUAUAUAUAUAUAUAUAUAUAUAAGAGAAGCUUAUAGUGCUAAAAAAGAGAGAGUAAAGGUUACUUAAAAAUUAUUAGUAAACUUACAAAGAUUUAAUUAUAUGUUUCUAGUGAAAUUCCUUAAGUUAUGUUUAUCUCUUUUAUAACAAAUUGUUAAGUAUAGUUUCACUUUUUUCUAUUUUUUAUACAUUUAUGCAAACCCUUUUUAUUGUUAAAUAAUAGAAAUAAAAAUUUCUUUAGAAGAUAGUAGUAGUUUCCUUGGAUAUAUUACAACCUAAAAGUUAUUUUCAUGCAUCUAAAAAUAGUUAGAGGUAGUCUAGUAAAUUAACCAAUUAUUUUUAUUGCUUAUACACAUGUUACAUGUAUUACAUCAAAAAUAUAAUUUUACAUUUUUUGUUCCGAAGAAUCUUCAAACCCCUAAUUCUAACUCUAUUUCAAUUGUAUCUUCAAAGGCGAAUUCAAACACUACCACCUUCAUUGCAAUGGUUUGAAGUUUCAUAUAAUAAUUUAAUUAGAAAAAUCCCUUCCUCAAUAAACAAUUUGACUUCUCUUAUGGAUCUUAGUCUAUCUAAGAAUAAUUUGGAUGGAACAAUUCUAGAUUGCAUUGGAAACAUGAGUUCUUUAGAAAGUAGUAUAGCAAUUUCCUUCAGUAGAUUAUAAUCUAAAAAUGGUUAGUAGUAGUGCAUCAUAAAUAUAGUUAUUUUACAAUUUUUGUUUCAAAGAAUCUUCAAACCCCUAAUUCUAACUCUAUUCCAUUUUUAUCUCCUAGGGAGAAUCCCAACACCACCACCUUCAUUGCAAUGGUAUGGAGUGUCAUACAAUAACUUAAUUGGAGAAAUCCCUUCCUCAAUAUGCAAUUUGACUUCUCUUAUGGGUUUCUUUCUGUCUGAGAAUAAUUUGGAAGGAACAAUUCCAGAGUGUUUUAGAAACUUGAGUU